AACGAACGCUGGCGGCAUGCCUAACACAUGCAAGUCGAACGAGACCUUCGGGUCUAGUGGCGCACGGGUGCGUAACGCGUGGGAACCUGCCCUUAGGUUCGGCAUAACUCCCCGAAAGGGGUGCUAAUACCGGCUAAUGUCUUCGGACCAAAGAUUUAUCGCCUUUGGUUGGGCCCGCGUUGGAUUAGCUAGUUGGUAGGGUAAAAGCCUACCAAGGCGACGAUCCAUAGCUGGUCUGAGAGGAUGAUCAGCCACACUGGGACUGAGACACGGCCCAGACUCCUACGGGAGGCAGCAGUGGGGAAUAUUGGACAAUGGGCGAAAGCCUGAUCCAGCAAUGCCGCGUGAGUGAUGAAGGCCUUAGGGUUGUAAAGCUCUUUUACCCGGGAUGAUAAUGACAGUACCGGGAGAAUAAGCUCCGGCUAACUCCGUG
rnacentral:rRNA from 1 species